GGCUGGGGGCGGAAGGAGGAGCCAGGCGAAGCGGCGCCUCCGCUGAGAGGCCCGGCGGACCCUGCAGAGGCCCCCUGCCCCUCUGGCUCCGCCCCCACCCGGGUCGCUAGAAAUACAGCCGCAGCCCCGCCCACCGCCCACUGCGCUCUGACCCAGACCCGGCUGACCCACCUACCCGCGAUCCUGCCCAUGGCUGACGGACUCUUUCGGCGCAGACCCUGGGGUCUCGAGCAGAUUCGCCCGGACCCCGAGUCCGAAGGCCUGUUUGACAAGCCUCCCCCGGAAGACCCUCCCGCUGCCCGCGGGCCCAGGUCGGCGUCGGCCGCGGGCAAGAAGGCUGGUCGGCGCGCGGGCGGGAGGGCGCAGGGGGGCCGCGCCGGGCAGCCCCCGAAGGCCGCAUCGCGCCCCCCGCCCAAGAAGGAGGCGCCGCCACUGGACGAGGGCUGCUAUCUCGACCAUUUUCCGCACCUCUCCAUCUUCAUCUACGCAGCCAUCGCCUUCUCCAUCACCUCCUGCAUCUUUACCUAUAUCCAUUUACAGCUUGCCUGAGUGGCCAGCGCGGGACGGGGUGGGCGCAGGACCGAGCGGGGAGGGAAAGGGAAAACAGGGCUCGGCAUUUUGUGUUUUAGAACAGCGCUGCACCCCCUUCAUGUAGCUUUCGAUGCUUGUUUCUUUCCGUCUUUGUUGUCACUAUCUUUGUCUAUCAGUACGAAAGUACAAAGUAGCUGCCGGCAAUGAAAUAAGGGUGCUGUUUGCACCUGCAGGUUAGGGGUGGAGGCGUUUAGAAUUCUGGGGUGUGAUUGAGCCCCGUUUAUAAUUAGAAUGUCCCUGGACCCCUACCACUCUGUGACGUGGGGGCACGCGCAGGGAUCCCAUCAUUUUGUGUUUGGGGAGCUCAGAGUGCGCCCAAUCUUGGAAUCUUUAAGGGAUGAGCCAGACCCAGACCCGCGGCCUUCUAGAGAGGGUCCGGCAGGGAGGGUCGGCGCCCUGGCCCGGGGUGGGCCGGAGCCCUGUGAUGCUGCAUCGCCCCCAGGAGGAGCCAGCUGUGCCCCAGAGUUGGCGCGGCCGAGAGAGGACAAGAGCGCGCAACAGGCGAAGCUGGAGGGCGGGACUCGGUAAGUGGCGUUCGUCGGGGUGUCGUGCUGCGCCCCCAGGGGCUCUGGCUGACCACGAGUGUGCUUUUUUCCUGCCUUAGACUUUGUUGUCGCUGCCCGGAGGAGUCGAGACUGGUACCCGGAGGAGGUGUCUCACCAGGAGACCACGCCCUGGAAGUGUCCGGGACUCGCGGGACCUGUGGCUGCAGACCCCGCGGGCACGCAGGCCCGGAGCUGGCGCACUCCUCAGGAUGAGACUCUGGGGGCCCUAGCCGGGGUCCACGGGAGGGCUGUCCUUGGGGACUCUAGGAUGGCUUCGUUCUGGCCCGGCGCACUUUUGGAGCUGUGAGACCCAAGACAAAAGGGGCUGAGGGAUUUCUCAUUGACAAGAGUUCGUGCGGGAAAACCACCUGACCCCUAGGGAUUUGUCAUCUUAGACUCAAAAGGCUUAAUACCAGAAACCACCUUGGCAAGAUAUUUACCCACCGGCCAUCUCUGUUUACUCAUGAAUGUUAAAUGUCAAAACGCAGCGCUCUAACCCUGCAUAUUAUUUACUUGCAAAUGUCUGUAAUCUGUAAUUGUAAUGCCUCUGAUGGAAUAAAUUAUCUUUUU
rnacentral:sRNA from 1 species